rnacentral:tRNA from 1 species
GUGGGUAUAGCUCAGUGGUAGAGCACAUGCUUAAUGUGCUUGAGAUCCUGGGUUCAAUCCCUAGUACCUUCA